rnacentral:rRNA from 1 species
AUUGAACGCUGGCGGCAUGCCUUACACAUGCAAGUCGAACGGCAGCGCGGGGCAACCUGGCGGCGAGUGGCGAACGGGUGAGUAAUAUAUCGGAACGUACCCUGGAGUGGGGGAUAACGUAGCGAAAGUUACGCUAAUACCGCAUACGAUCUAAGGAUGAAAGUGGGGAUCGCAAGACCUCAUGCUCCUGGAGCGGCCGA